GAUGAACGCUGGCGGCGUGCUUAACACAUGCAAGUCGAACGGUGAAGGCGGAGCUUGCUCUGCUGGAUCAGUGGCGAACGGGUGAGUAACACGUGAGCAAUCUGCCCCUGACUCUGGGAUAAGCGCUGGAAACGGCGUCUAAUACUGGAUACGAGCUGCGAAGGCAUCUUCAGCAGCUGGAAAGAACUUCGGUCAGGGAUGAGCUCGCGGCCUAUCAGCUUGUUGGUGAGGUAACGGCUCACCAAGGCGUCGACGGGUAGCCGGCCUGAGAGUGUGACCGGCCACACUGGGACUGAGACACGGCCCAGACUCCUACGGGAGGCAGCAGUGGGGAAUAUUGCACAAUGGGCGAAAGCCUGAUGCAGCAACGCCGCGUGAGGGACGACGGCCUUCGGGUUGUAAACCUCUUUUAGCAGGGAAGAAGCGAAAGUGACGGUACCUGCAGAAAAAGCGCCGGCUAACUACGUG
rnacentral:rRNA from 1 species